UACGUAGGGUGCGAGCGUUGUCCGGAUUUAUUGGGCGUAAAGAGCUCGUAGGCGGUCUGUUGCGUCCGCUGUGAAAACUCGGGGCUUAACCCCGAGCCUGCAGUGGAUACGGGCAGACUAGAGGUAGGUAGGGGAGAAUGGAAUUCCCGGUGUAGCGGUGAAAUGCGCAGAUAUCGGGAGGAACACCGGUGGCGAAGGCGGUUCACUGGGCCUUACCUGACGCUGAGGAGCGAAAGCGUGGGGAGCGAACAGG
rnacentral:rRNA from 1 species